CGCACACUGGCUUCCUGCGGCCUCGGAGGUUCAGCCCGACAGCCUGCUGUGCUCGCCUUCUCUGCCCCCUCGGAAGAAGUUCAGGAGCUGGGAACCCGCCGGGCGCCACCAAUCUGCGAGGCAGGGCAUGGAAGAAAAGACGUGGUGAAAGGAUGCUUCCGGACACUUAUUGAUUCCCGGUAAAUGUCUCAACCUCCCUGAGCCUCAGUUUCCUCAUCUGUAAAAUGGAGGGGAGGUGUCACUCCUUGGACUGUGGUGUUGAUUAAUGAGAUGAUGAUGACAAAGGCAAAUAAAUACAGAUGUAAAUUUAA